UUAGAAACAAGGUCGGCAAAGAACUCAGGCGUCCUGCCUGAAAAGUCGACAUUAGUACGGCCUGUGCG
rnacentral:sRNA from 1 species